CAAGUCGAGCGGCAGCGCGGGGCAACCUGGCGGCGAGCGGCGAACGGGUGAGUAAUGCAUCGGAACGUGUCCAUGUCGUGGGGGAUAGCCCGGCGAAAGCCGGAUUAAUACCGCAUACGCCCGAGAGGGGAAAGUGGGGGACCGCAAGGCCUCACGCGAUUGGGUCGGCCGAUGUCCGAUUAGCUAGUUGGCGGGGUAAAGGCCCACCAAGGCGAUGAUCGGUAGCUGGUCUGAGAGGAUGAUCAGCCACACUGGGACUGAGACACGGCCCAGACUCCUACGGGAGGCAGCAGUGGGGAAUUUUGGACAAUGGGGGCAACCCUGAUCCAGCCAUUCCGCGUGAGUGAAGAAGGCCUUCGGGUUGUAAAGCUCUUUUGUCCGGAACGAAACGGGUAGCGUGAACAUCGCUGCCUACUGACGGUACCGGAAGAAUAAGCACCGGCUAACUACGUGCCAGCAGCCGCGGUAAUACGUAGGGUGCGAGCGUUAAUCGGAAUUACUGGGCGUAAAGCGUGCGCAGGCGGUUUUGUAAGCCAGAUGUGAAAUCCCCGGGCUUAACCUGGGAAUGGCAUUUGGGACUGCAAGGCUCGAGUGCGGCAGAGGAGACUGGAAUUCCUGGUGUAGCAGUGAAAUGCGUAGAUAUCAGGAGGAACACCGAUGGCGAAGGCAGGUCUCUGGGCUGACACUGACGCUCAUGCACGAAAGCGUGGGGAGCAAACAGGAUUAGAUACCCUGGUAGUCCACGCCCUAAACGAUGUCGACUGGUUGUUGGGGGUUUGACACUCUCAGUAACGAAGCUAACGCGUGAAGUCGACCGCCUGGGGAGUACGGCCGCAAGGUUAAAACUCAAAGGAAUUGACGGGGACCCGCACAAGCGGUGGAUUAUGUGGAU
rnacentral:rRNA from 1 species